GCGUUCGUAGAUCAGUGGAUAGAUCGUCAAGCUACGGACUUGAAGGACGAGGGUUCGAAUCCUUCCGAACGUG
rnacentral:tRNA from 1 species